AUUGGACAUUUCUUAGCACACAAAUAGUAUUUAAAUUAAAUAACUCAUAAUAUCAUAAAUUCUUAUUUACUUUCAUUCUGCGAUCACAUAUUGUGUGAUAUGGUAUUGGUUUUCUAUGUUUGUGAGAGCCAACAAUUCUGAGUCCACAAACUGGAGCACGCGCGUACCUUUCUCUUAAGGAUUGCCAUCCACUCAGUUCAUUAACUGACUGACAUCUGUACACUACAUUUUUGAAAAUAUUAAACUUACUUUACUUAUUUUUAUUUAUUUAUUUUUUUAUAAAUAAAUUGUUUAAACAGUAAAUUUAUUUAUUGGGACUGUGCACUAUUUUAUUGAUUUAAAUAUGAGUUUUUACUUAGAAACUUCAGUGAAUCAGAUAAAAUUUGUUGAUGAAAAUCUUUUGCCUUCUGUGAAAUCAGUUAAAUUUCACGGAUAUAAUAACAAGUAUAAUAAUUAUACUGCUAAUGAAAAUGCUUGUUUACUUGGGGAUGUUGAUGAUGAACCUGACUACGACGGAACAAUUCAACAUGAUCAAGAAUCUCGAAUAUCCCAAACUAAUGGAGAUACUACAGCAUCGAUCAAAAUUAAAAUUAUUGGAAUGAGUUGCCAAAGUUGUGUUCAAAAUAUUGAAAGUACAAUAGGAAAACGAAAAGGAGUUUUAAAUAUUCGAGUUGAUUUAGAAGAAAGCACUGGUUACGUCAAGUACGAUCCUCAAGAAAUAUCUGGAAAUGAGUUAGUAGAAGCUAUAAAUGAUAUGGGAUUCGAGGCAUCUUUAGAGCCAUCACAAAUUAGUGAUGUUAAUGUUCAUGAGGUAGUUAAUAAAUUGGAAAUUAAUCCCAGUGCAUGUGUCAUUCAUGUCGAUGGUAUGACUUGCCAAUCCUGUGUUAAAAGUAUUACAGAUGUCAUGUUAAAAAAACUAGGUGUAAUAAAAAUUAAUGUUUCUUUAAAUGAUAAAGAAGCUUCAGUUUCAUAUAAUGAUGCAGAUAUUACCCCGAUUGAAAUAGCAACAUCUAUAGAAGAAAUGGGAUUUGAUGCAUAUGUUAAAGAAGUUAAUGGCAAUGCUAUGAUCUCACCAACAAAAACAAUAAGUAAAGAUAAAUGUAAUACAUCUUUUUUAUCAGUUAACGGCGCUGGUGACUAUAAAAAAGCUGAUAAUUUUUCUAAAUGCCAUUUGCAGAUAAAUGGUAUGACGUGUAGUUCAUGUAUUGCUGCUAUAGAGAAACACUGUAAAAAAUUGUAUGGAGUUGAAAAUAUUUCAGUGGGGUUGUUGGCUGCUAAAGCAGAAGUAAUAUAUGCACCAGAUAAAAUUUCCCCUAUGGACAUAGCUUCUAGUAUUACGGAUUUGGGUUUUCCUUCGACAUUGAUUGAAGAACCUGGAACAGGUGUAACUGAAGUAGAAUUACAGAUUUCAGGAAUGACUUGUGCAUCUUGUGUAAAUAAAAUAGAAUCUACGGUAAGUAAAUUACCAGGUGUACAAUCAGCAAAUGUAGCUUUGGCGACACAGAGAGGAAAAUUUAAAUUCGAUUCGUCGAAAACGGGUGCUCGAGAUAUAAUUGAAAAAAUAAAUAAACUUGGAUUUACUGCUAAUUUAUUUAGCAAUAAUGAAAAAGACAGUAGGAAUUAUUUAAGUCAAAGAGAAGAAAUUCAAAAGUGGAGGACAUCUUUUUUAAUAUCCUUAAUCUUCGGACUUCCAAGUAUGAUAAUAAUGACUUAUUUUAUGUUAGACAUGUCGAUUAAUCAUAAAAACCAUGAAGAUAUGUGUUGUGUUAUUCCCGGUGUGUCUUGGGAAAAUUUAUUGCUUUUAAUAUUUUCAACCCCUGUACAAUUUUUUGGUGGUUGGCAUUUUUAUGUUCAAGCGUACAAGGCUCUUAAGCACGGUACAAUGAAUAUGGAUGUUCUUAUUUCAAUGACAACGACUAUCUCAUAUGUUUAUUCAUUAUGUGUAUUAAUAGCAGCGAUCGCAAUGCAAGAGCAUACGAGUCCUCAAACAUUUUUUGACACGCCACCGAUGUUAUUGGUUUUUAUUAGCUUAGGUCGAUGGCUCGAGCACGUAGCCAAGGGAAAAACAUCAGAAGCUUUAUCAAAACUUUUAUCAUUGAAAGCUACUGACGCAGUGUUAGUAACUCUGGGACCUAACAAGGAGAUUUUAUCAGAACGAGUGAUUAGUAUUGAUUUAGUUCAACAAGGUGAUGUACUUAAAGUCUUCCAAGGUUCAAAGGUCCCAGUAGAUGGCCGAGUAUUAUCUGGACAAUCAGCUUGUGAUGAAAGUUUAAUUACGGGUGAGAGUAUGCCAGUGUUAAAAAAACCCGAUUCAAUUGUCAUCGGUGGAUCGAUUAAUCAAAGUGGACCUCUUUUAAUAACCGCAACGCACACUGGUGAACAUACAACACUUGCACAGAUAGUCCGUUUAGUAGAGGAAGCUCAGACAAGCAAAGCCCCAAUUCAGCAAUUGGCAGAUAAAGUUGCUGGAUAUUUUAUACCAUUUGUAAUAAUAGUAUCUGUCCUGACACUUAUUGUCUGGAUCAUAGUGGGAUAUGUAAACAUAAAUGGUUUGCCAAUAUCGACAAUAAAUGAAAUCAAUGGAUUUAGAAGAAAUAAAGAUGAGAUUAUUUUCCAGUAUGCAUUUAGAUGCGCUCUUUCAGUGCUUGCAAUCGCAUGUCCAUGUGCUUUAGGAUUAGCAACACCUACCGCUGUAAUGGUGGGUACUGGUGUUGGUGCUUUAAAUGGAAUUUUAAUAAAAGGUGCUGAUUCUCUAGAAAAUGCGCACAAAGUUAAAUGUAUUGUUUUCGAUAAAACUGGAACCUUAACACAUGGUACACCUACCGUCUGCAGAAUAGGACUUUUUGUCAAUGAAAAAAUAUUUUCAAUAGUCAAACUUUUAGCUAUUAUUGGUACCGCAGAAACCCGCAGUGAGCAUCCGAUCGCUUCAGCUAUUGUUCGUUUUGUUAAAGAAACUCUUGGUACUGAAGUUACCGGUAAGUGUAUUAAGUUCCAAGGUGUUGCAGGAUGUGGUCUCAAGUGCCAAGUUACGCAUUUAUCUACAAUGAUGUCUUAUGCUUAUAAAUCUGAAACGAUACUUAAUUAUUUAAAUCAAGUGCGACUUGAAUCUUCCGGUACAUUUAAUUUAAAUAAUGUUCCAGUAGAUUUAAUAAGUUUUCCAACAAAUGAUCAUGAAAAGUCUAGUCUUCAGCUUGAAUUAUUAGAUCCUGAUAUGUCAAAUAAUCAAGGUAGUUCUAAAGAUUAUUAUGAAGUGUUUAUUGGUAAUCGUGAGUGGAUGCGUCGAAACGGUAUCACGAUACCUCAACAUGUUGAUGUACAAAUGAUGGAACAAGAAAGUUUAGGAAGUACAUCGAUUUUAGUCGGAAUUAAUAAUAUAUUAGUAGCAACUAUAAAUGUUGCGGAUACAGUGAAACCAGAAGCACAUUUAGUAGUGUAUACUUUGAAAAAAAUGGGAUUAGAAGUAAUUUUAUUAACUGGAGAUAAUCGAAAAACUGCUGCAUCUGUUGCUAAACAAAUCGGUAUCACUAAAAUAUUUGCAGAAGUGUUACCGUCUCACAAAGUUGCCAAAAUACGUAAGCUUCAAGAGCAAGGAAUUCGCGUGGCUAUGAUAGGAGAUGGAAUAAAUGAUAGCCCAGCUCUUGCUCAAGCUGAUGUUGGUAUUGCUAUUGCAUCUGGAACUGAUGUUGCUGUUGAAGCUGCGGAUGUCGUUUUAAUGAAGAAUGAUUUAUUAGAUGUCGUAGGAUGUCUAGAUCUAUCAAGAAAAACUGUAUUUAGAAUAAGAUUAAAUUUUUUAUUUGCAAGUAUUUAUAAUUUACUAGGCAUUCCGAUAGCUGCUGGAUUGUUCAGUCCUUUUGGUUUUUUUCUCGAACCUUGGAUGGCUUCUGCUGCUAUGGCCUUGAGUUCAGUUUCAGUUGUUGCAAGUUCACUGAUGCUUAAAUUAUAUAAAAAGCCAACCAGACAGACCCUAGAAACUCCGGAGUAUUUGUCAAACUUGCAAAUGCAUUGUACGAAACCAUUGGAACAUGUAAUUACGAUGAAUCAUCGUAGUAAAGAUACUUCAAUUAUAGAACCUUUGCGUUCUUCGUCAACAUUAUCGAGCACGUUAGCAUGAUGAUUUGCACGAAUUUAUAACAAUUUUUUAUCGACAAUAUAAUACAAAAAAUAGUGGGAUAUAAUGUAAUUAACUGUUGUUUGGAACUAAAGAUGAAAUAGAAGGCCUCCUUAUAGAUGAAGAUCAAGUAGGAUUUACAGUGAAAAAUUUUUCAAACCAAAAAAUUGCUACUGUUAAUGGAGAAAUUAUAUCAUAAUACAUUUUUAAUAUUUUUUUAAUAAAUUUAUUACACAUACCAGUGAUGUAUAUUAAUUUGCUUUUGAUAAUUGAAUACUUGUUAUUGUACUUAACAUGCUCACAUUCAGAAGACAAAGUAAUGAAAAACAUUUGCUUCUUAUUUUAUCAAGUAUCAAUUAAUUUUGCAAGUAACGUAAACUAUUAAUUACCAUGUAUAAAUAACAGACACAUAUAUGCAUAUGUGUGGGGGUGUAAGACGAUAUUUGCUUAAUAUUUACCAUCAGUAAUAAAAUUUAUGAAUCCUUUAUAAAAUAAGAAAGCAAUUUUAUUUAAAUUGACAAAUGAAAAAUUUUAAAGAUCAAAGAUUAAUUUUUAUAUUUCGAAAUCUAUGUACAUAUGUAAUUAUUAAUUGUAUAAAAAAUAACAAAUGUAUUUU